AGAGUUUGAUUCUGGCUCAGGACGAACGCUGGCGGCGUGCUUAACACAUGCAAGUCGAACGGGAUCCACUGGGCUUUUGUUUGGUGGUGAGAGUGGCGAACGGGUGAGUAAUGCGUGACUAACCUGCCGUAUGGUUGGGGAUAGCUCCUGGAAACGGGUGGUAAUACCCAAUGCUCCAGCUGGAUGCAUGUCUGGUUGGGAAAGCUGUUGUGCCAUAUGAUGGGGUCGCGUCCUAUCAGCUUGUUGGUGGGGUGAUGGCCUACCAAGGCGUCGACGGGUAGCCGGCCUAAGAGGGCGACCGCCCACAUUGGGACUGAGAUACGGCCCAG
rnacentral:rRNA from 1 species